UACGGAGGGUGCAAGCGUUAUUCGGAAUCACUGGGCGUAAAGGACGCGUAGGCGGGUUGGCAAGUCAGAUGUGAAAUCCUACAGCUUAACUGUAGAACUGCAUUUGAAACUGCUAACCUAGAGUAUGGGAGGGGAAGAUGGAAUUAGUGGUGUAGGGGUAAAAUCCGUAGAUAUCACUAGGAAUACCGAAAGCGAAGGCGAUCUCCUGGAACAUAACUGACGCUAAGGCGUGAAAGCGUGGGGAGCAAACAGGAUUAGAAACCCUAGUAGUCC
rnacentral:rRNA from 1 species